GGAGGUAGUGACAAUAAAUCUCAAUACGAAGCCUUUGGUUUUGUAAUUGAAUUGAGAACAAUGUACAAUCGUUAUCGAUAAACAAUUGGAGGGCAAGUCUGGUGCCAGCAGCCGCGGUAAUUCCAGCUCCAAUAGCGUAUAUUAACGUUGUUGCAGUUAAAAAGCUCGUAGUUGAAGUUUAGAUAAUUUAUUGAAAGUGUUUGUAUUCGUACAUUCUACUUUUAUGUAAGUUAUCGACAUCCAGGUGGGUAUCAUAAUCUCGCAAGGGGUCGUGAUACUAGACUGGUCAUUUACUGUGAGAAAAUUAGAGUGUUUAAAGCAGACUUUUAUUCAGUUUGAAUAGAUUAGCAUGGAAUAAUAAGAUUGGCUUUCAUAGUCGAUUUUUUGGUUUGUUUAUGAAAGCAAGAUUAAUAGGGACAGUUGGGGGUAUUCAUAUUCAAUAGCUAGAGGUGAAAUUCUAUGAUUUAUGGAAGAUGAACAAGUGCGAAAGCA
rnacentral:rRNA from 1 species